AAGUGAACUGUGCAGGCAAUGGAUUUAACUGCUACUGAAAGGCUUGGCAAAUACACAAUAGAAGUUUGUUUAUAAGGAGCACUCUAGCCACAUCAGUGACAAAACAGACAUCAGGCAACUAGCAGCUAUCCAUUAGAGUCACAUCUGGUUCUAUAUCUGGAAGUUAAUAAGUGACGCAAAUAACAGAAGUUUGAUUGCUUACUACAUCCCAACUUCUUUCACCCAG